UGGGGAAUAUUGCACAAUGGGCGCAAGCCUGAUGCAGCCAUGCCGCGUGUAUGAAGAAGGCCUUCGGGUUGUAAAGUACUUUCAGCGGGGAGGAAGGGAGUAAAGUUAAUACCUUUGCUCAUUGACGUUACCCGCAGAAGAAGCACCGGCUAACUCCGUGCCAGCAGCCGCGGUAAUACGGAGGGUGCAAGCGAUAAUCGGAAUUACUGGGCGUAAAGCGCACGCAGGCGGUUUGUUAAGUCAGAUGUGAAAUCCCCGGGCUCAACCUGGGAACUGCAUCUGAUACUGGCAAGCUUGAGUCUCGUAGAGGGGGGUAGAAUUCCAGGUGUAGCGGUGAAAUGCGUAGAGAUCUGGAGGAAUACCGGUGGCGAAGGCGGCCCCCUGGACGAAGACUGACGCUCAGGUGCGAAAGCGUGGGGAGCAAACA
rnacentral:rRNA from 1 species